UACGUAGGGGGCGAGCGUUGUCCGGAAUCAUUGGGCGUAAAGCGCGUGUAGGCGGCUUGCCAAGUCCGGUGUGAAAUCUCGGGGCUCAACCCCGAAACUGCACUGGAAACUGGUUGGCUAGAGUCCGGAAGAGGAGAAUGGAAUUCCUGGUGUAGCGGUGAAAUGCGCAGAUAUCAGGAAGAACACCGGUGGCGAAGGCGGUUCUCUGGGACGGUACUGACGCUGAGACGCGAAAGCGUGGGGAGCGAACAGG
rnacentral:rRNA from 1 species